rnacentral:rRNA from 1 species
UACGUAGGGUGCAAGCGUUGUCCGGAAUUAUUGGGCGUAAAGAGCUCGUAGGCGGUCUGUCGCGUCGGCUGUGAAAACCCGAGGCUCAACCUCGGGCCUGCAGUCGAUACGGGCAAACUAGAGUACUGCAGGGGAGACUGGAAUUCCUGGUGUAGCGGUGAAAUGCGUAGAUAUCAGGAGGAACACCGAUGGCGAAGGCAGGUCUCUGGGCUGACACUGACGCUCAUGCACGAAAGCGUGGGGAGCAAACAGG